rnacentral:lncRNA from 1 species
CUGAUGUAACAGCCUUGGGAAAGAGGUUGCAGUGAAAAGCUGGUCCUGCUGUGGUGGAGAGAAUGGGGGAAAGAUGUUGCAGUGAAAAGCUGGUCCUGCUGUGGUGGAGAGAAUGGAGGAAAGAUAAUAAAAGGCCAAACCUUUGCUCAAACUUUCUCCUCAGCUUCCCUUUGGAUCUGGAAAGCUGGGGACCCACACGGCAGAGCCAUGGUACUGGAGGAGCCAUUAACAAAGCUUUCAAUAAACCUCUCUUUCUUGAAGUUACCUGAGAAUGGAUCCAUUCCCUGCAACUGAAGAUUCUAAGGAACUGGGUUUCUCAGUAUACAAUGGGAAUGGUUGGGAGGAGGUAAAGAGUAGAAGACAGUAUCAAGAAUCCAGAGCCCAGCACCUGUAGUCCUAACUAUUCAGAUUCCUUGAGCCCAGGAGUUUGAGUCCAGCCUGGACAACAUAUUGAGACCCCCAUCUCUCUAAAAAAAAAAGAGAAAGAAAGAAGGAAAGAAAAAAAGAAAGAAAGAAAGAAAGAAAGAAAGAAAGAAAGAAAGAAAGAAAGAAAGAAAGAAAGAGAAAGAAAGAAAAGAAGAUUGUAGCUAGGGGGAGAGUAGGUGAAAAGAUGAACAACAUGACCGGGAAGACUUCCUAAUCUCACCACAGCCUGGCUCUACCUUAAGUCUUUAAUAAAAGCUUGACUGAAGGUACCAAGGUGUGCUGAAGUGGAAGCAAAGUUCUCCAAAGUCCAGCAUGGUAGACAUCAGUGGUGGUAACCAAGGAAAGACCCCAAGACAAGGUGAACCUCAAAAAUGGAACCUCAAGUCUAUGCAGUCCAGCUGCCCUCCCCACCAGAAAGUCCUCGUUCCAGCCCAACAUCAGUGCCUCUGAGUUUGGUUACUAGAAACAAAGGAAGAAUUUCCUUGUAAAAAUAUAGACAGAGUAGUCCCUGGCUUUCUCCUCUUGCAGGAAGGAGGGAUUCUCCCAUUCCAUACCAUCUUUCCCCCACACUGGCCCCAGAAAUACUUAAUUCAACUAUGUGGAAAUAAAGAUUGUUUUUGGUUUGAGGGCAUAGGGAUCCAUUUAUCCUUAUUCUUUAUGAGGCACUAAAUUAGCUUUGUAUGUUAUUAAAUGUGUCUCGUCAA